rnacentral:rRNA from 1 species
AUGGUUGUCGUCAGCUCGUGUCGUGAGAUGUUGGGUUAAGUCCCGCAACGAGCGCAACCCUUAAGCUUAGUUGCCAUCAUUAAGUUGGGCACUCUAAGUUGACUGCCGGUGACAAACCGGAGGAAGGUGGGGAUGACGUCAAAUCAUCAUGCCCCUUAUGAUUUGGGCUACACACGUGCUACAAUGGACAAUACAAAGGGCAGCGAAACCGCGAGGUCAAGCAAAUCCCAUAAAGUUGUUCUCAGUUCGGAUUGUAGUCUGCAACUCGACUAUAUGAAGCUGGAAUCGCUAGUAAUCGUAGAUCAGCAUGCUACGGUGAAUACGUUCCCGGGUCUUGUACACACCGCCCGUCACACCACGAGAGUUUGUAACACCCGAAGCCGGUGGAGUAACCA